GACGAACGCUGGCGGCGCGCUUAACACAUGCAAGUCGAACGAAGUGGCGAACGGGUGAGUAAUACGUGGGUAACUGCCCUCCUUUUUGGGAUAAGCCUUGGAAACGGCUGCUAAUACCGGAUAGUGGGGGAUGACUCGCGUCCUAUCAGCUUGUUGGUGGGGUAGUGGCCUACCAAGGCGACGACGGGUAGCCGGCCUGAGAGGGCGACCGGCCACAUUGGGCUGGGAUACGGCCCAGACGCCUACGGGGGGCAGCAGUGGGGGAUAUUGCACAAUGGGCGAAAGCCUGAUGCAGCGACGCCGCGUGGGGGAUGAAGGCUUUCGGGUUGUAAACCUCUUUCGCUAUCGAAAGGGUAGGUGGAGAAGAAGCGCCGGCUAACUACGUGCCAGCCGCCGCGGUAAUUC
rnacentral:rRNA from 1 species